GUGUCAGCAGCCGCGGUAAGACAGAGGUGGCAAGCGUUGUUCGGAUUUACUGGGCGUAAAGGGUGUGUAGGUGGCUGAGCAAGUCGAAGAUGAAAUCCCAGGGCUCAACCCUGGAAUUGUCUUUGAUACUGUUCAGCUUGAGGGUGGUCGAGGAAGACGGAAUUCCCGGUGGAGCGGUGAAAUGCGUAGAUAUCGGGAGGAACACCGGAGGCGAAGGCGGUCUUCUGGGCCACUCCUGACACUGAGGCACGAAAGCUAGGGGAGCGAACGGGAUUAGAUACCCCGGUAGUCCUAGCCGUAAACGAUGGGCACUAGAUGUUCCCACAUUUUGUGGGAGUGUCGAAGCUAACGCGUUAAGUGCCCCGCCUGGGGAGUACGGUCGCAAGGCUGAAACUUAAAUGAAUUGACGGGG
rnacentral:rRNA from 1 species